ensembl:misc_RNA 7SK 7SK RNA
GGAUGUAAGGACAAUCUGGCUGCAACACCUGUCACCCCAUUGAUCCCCGGGCUUGAUUUGGCUGAUCAGGCUGGCUAGGCAGGUGUCCCCUUCUUUCCUCACCCCUCAGUGUGCAUCCCUCCUGAAGCUGUGUGCUCAGUCAAAAAGGAGGACCCCCUGCCCCACCAUAGAGGAGGACAGUUUUCUUGGUCAAGGGUAUAGGAGUAGUUGUGUUUCCCUGCUAGAACCUCCACACAAGCUCUCAUUUUAGAAAAUUGUAUUUCCUUCCUUAAUAAAGAUAUCAAAUAUCUUUUUAUAUAUUUAAUU